UUGUAAUUUAAGUUGUGUUGCAAAACAAAUGCCUUGUUACUUAUGCAGAAUAUUGUGGCAGAAUUAUAUUUUCCUGAUGCAUCUAACCAAAAAAAACCUUUGUGUACUUCCAAUCUUUUGGAGAAAAGCAUGUUCAAAUUGGUUUUCCUUCUUUGGACAAUGUUUGGUUGAGAUUGAAAAACAAGUUUUUGAAGUUCAAGUUUUAAAAAAAAGAAUAUUUG
rnacentral:misc_RNA from 1 species